AUCCAGCUGACGAGUACCAAAUAGGAAGAAACGCGUGUCCUGGAU
rnacentral:hammerhead_ribozyme from 1 species